rnacentral:lncRNA from 1 species
CUUUUAAGACAGGUUCUCAUUAAGUUGCCCAGGUUGGCCUUGCAAUUCUUCUGCCUCCCUGAUUGCUGGAUCACAGGAUGCACUAAUAUACCUAGAUAUGGUCUAUUUGAUGCCAGACUUCCAGCCUUGACUGCACAUAGAAACAAAUGGACAACUUGAAAAGCAUGUAUACCAUUACCUCAUCCACCAUCAACUGAAUAUGAAUCUCUUCAGGCCCGACUGAGGCUUUACUGAGUAUGAAACAUUCCCAAGUGGUUCUAAAGUGCAAUCAAGUUUGAGAAUCACAGGCAUAAUGAAAUCAAACUCCUGGAGCUCAGAGCCUGAAUGUCAAUUCUGUUUGGACAAAUUUUCUUUAUCUAAUUUUCUGAAUUUGUAAAAUAAGAAAUAUAUAAGUAGAGGUAGUUUCCAUCUUAAAGGACUAACAAAUCAAUUCAUCUAAAAUCCUUAUAGCACUUUAAUUUGGGACUGUGAUCUGUGGUUUUUGCAUAUACCAGAAUGGGUAAGUAGCACAAGUCUAUUACAGUGAAGUCCAAAAUCUGGUACCUAAGUUAGAAUUACAGAAUUCCAAAAGUCUGUUUCUAUCCAGAAUGUUGCAUUUAAAAUGCUACAUCCAGAUGUAGCAUCAUGGUCAGAAGCAGCAUUAUUUCAAGAACUAUUUCAGAUAUGAUAAUAUGACAACAUAUGUCUAUAAACACCUAUUUGUCAGGCAUGAAUACUGUACUCUGUGAAAAGCUAAGGAAUAUACUAAGAAACAUUCAAACAUGAGUAUUGGUUCUAUCAUUUAUUAAAUAUGUGACCUUGAACAAGUUACUUUAUCCAUCUCCAGCCAGUUUCUCUGCCUGCCAAUGGGGAUGAUACCUGUAAU